rnacentral:lncRNA from 1 species
CCUAACAGCAUCAGCAUCUGCUGGGAGCUUAUUAGAAAUGCAGAAUCUCAACCCUAUGGAUUCAGAAUCUGAAUUUUAAUAAGAUCCCUAGUGAUUCAAGUCAUAUUAAAAUUUGAGCAGCAUUAGAACAGUGUUUCACAGCCUUGGCCCCAUAUUAACAUCUCUUGGGAAGCUUUUAAAUAUCCCAAUGCCCAGCUAUGCCACAGACUCAAAUCAAAACCUCUAGGAGCGGAACCUAGGCGUCAGCUUUGUUGUUGUUUCGUUAUCUCCCAAGGCAAUUCUAAUAUGUAGCCACGCUUGAGACCCACCAACUUAGAACGUCAUUUACAGUUUACACCUGAGGCUUCAUUUGCCUGGAGUCCCGAGAAAGCGUGAUGAUGAAGGGAAUGUGCAGAAUCACUGGCUGGAGGAGGGGCUUCAAACAACAGCAGAAAAGGAGAGAGGCAUUUCUUGUUGAGCUCCUCCUUCAACCAGAUAUUGUUUCAUUCUUUUAUAUAGACCUUCAAGACAACCCUGUCAGCAUCUUUUGAAGAGCAGAAGACCUUACUUUCAAAUGAAGUCCAAUUUAUCAGUUUCUCCUUUUGUGGACUGUGCUUUUGGCAAUGUAUCUAAGAACUUUUUCCUAACCCAAGGGCACAAAAAUUUUCUCCUAGAAAUUUUCUUCUGGAAUUUUUACAGUUUUAAAUUUUACAUUGAGAACUAUGAUCCUGGUGAAAGUGGCUAGAACGUUCAAUACAGUGUUGAAUAGAAGUCAUGACCCAAGAUAUCUUUGCCUCCUGCCUGAACAUAGUGGGAAAGCAUUUAGUCUUCCAACACUAAGUGUUAGCUGUGGGGGUUUGUAAUAGAUGGCCUUUAUCAGCACACAGUUGCAUAUCUUAGUUGCAGGUCCUUCUAGUUGUGGCAUAUGGGACACCACCUCAACGUGGCCUGACGAGCAGUGCCAUGUCCUCGCCCAGGAUCCGAACCAGUGAAACCCUGGGCCACCGCAGCAGAGCGCACGAACUUAACCACUCGGCCACGGGGCCAGCCCCUGUUCAGCUUUUUUCUUGUUGUCAGGCUGGGGGUGAUUCCCAGCUCUUUCCAUGUUGAACCAGAAAGUGGAAGUCCUUAGGUUUACUUUUGAUAUUUUUUCUAGCUUAAUUCUACUGUGGUCAGAGAAUAUACUCUGUAUUAUUCCAACUCUUUGAAAGUUGUGGACAGUUGCUUUGUGGCACAGCAUAUGGUCUGCUUUAGUCAGCCUUCUGAGUGUAGCUGAAGAGAACAUGUA